GGAUUACCCACCCGCUUUUUGGAGCUGUCAGGGCAACUAGCUAGGAUAUGAAGUAGCAAGAUUGCGAGCUCAAGGAGAUGCUUUCUUCUGUGUGCUAGGGCCGCUUGCCAAAGAUCACAUAGUGAGAUCACAGUGAGCACGCAGUGCAGAUGGAGGUCAGUCCCAGUGGGAUCAGAUUGGGGGUGCAGAGGACACAUCAGGCAGUCUCACCUGCAAUCUCAUCGGGAGAAUCUCAGGUGAGGACACUCUGAGGCUGCUGGGCAGGCAGGAUCAAGGGACCAGCACAUGAAGAGGCCAGACUGUGGCUUAGGCAGGUGACACAAAGGGGCAGUGAGAACCAGGAUCUGCUGCUGAUUACAAUGUAACUGAAUGGCCCCGUACAGAGUGCUCCCUGUGUACCAGGCAUUUAAAGCCUCAUCUAAUCCUCAAAACCAUAACACCUGUCUACAAGGUAGGUAUUAAUAUUGGUCCCCACAGAGGACUCUGGGGUCUAGACUCAGAAAGGGUCUAAUCAAUAUCCUGGGCCUCUCUUACCUCUCACUUUCCCAGACAUAACACCCUCUGCACAAAAUGAUCCUCUACCCUAUCCCAUCUCAGAGAACCCCCACCCCAGCCCCAUUCUCCAGGCCUCAGUAUUGACACCACCUCCUUGGGAAACCCUCCCAAGCUGCCCUGCCGCCCCCCUUGUGAGGUGGCCUCUCCCUGGCACCCACCCCAGUAGCAGCCCUGUUGCCCCCACCCUAAUGGCCCUGA
rnacentral:lncRNA from 1 species